GAUGAACGCUGGCGGCGUGCCUAAUACAUGCAAGUCGAGCGAACGGACGAGAAGCUUGCUUCUCAGAUGUUAGCGGCGGACGGGUGAGUAACACGUGGAUAACCUACCUAUAAGACUGGGAUAAAUUCGGGAAACCGGAGCUAAUACCGGAUAAUAUUUUGAACCGGAUGGUUCAAAAGUGAAAGACGGUCCUGCUGUCACUUAUAGAUGGAUCCGCGCUGCAUUAGCUAGUUGGUAAGGUAACGGCUUACCAAGGCAACGAUGCAUAGCCGACCUGAGAGGGUGAUCGGCCACACUGGAACUGAGACACGGUCCAGACUCCUACGGGAGGCAGCAGUAGGGAAUCUUCCGCAAUGGGCGAAAGCCUGACGGAGCAACGCCGCGUGAGUGAUGAAGGUCUUCGGAUCGUAAAACUCGGUUAUUAGGGAAGAACAUAUGUGUAAGUAACUGUGCACAUCUUGACGGUACCUAAUCAGAAAGCCACGGCUAACUACGUG
rnacentral:rRNA from 1 species